AAUUAGACCUGGAUCUGUUUGUUUUUUCUUGCAUUUUGUUCAUCAGGAAAUGCUUCAUUUCUCAUUUAAUUCAACAUGAUGAUGGUCUAUUAGUAGGCGGCAGCAGGGCUGGUUGCAAGAUCGAGGUGGCCUAGGGGUUCGCUGCAAGAUCUGGAGAGUCUCGUUGAAGCGAUAAAGCAAGUAGAAAUCGUGAUCUGCGCCAUUCCUUCCAAAAAUGUCCUCGAUCAGAAGCUUCCCAUUUAAGCUAUCAAAGAAGCUGGAUGCAUCAAGGCCAAGAGUGAAGAGCUAGUAGCCAAGGUGCAUAUUUUGAGUGAAGAGAAUCUGGCCCUAAAGAAUGAGAUAUAACGGCUUUCUGAGAAUGUGAGAAACUAAUGUCUGAAAAUGUGACUAUAAUGAAGUUUAUGAUCUUUCCUGUUGGGGCAUCCACUUUCAAGGAAGCCCUGAAGAUGGGUGUCGAAGUAUAUCACCAUUUGAAGGGGCAGUUACAGGGCAAUAUACGCAGACGUGGGGCUGUAUCAUAUCAGUGAUUGAAGCCUGUUACUUGUGUGAUCAAAGACACAACUAUGUCUCUCUUUCCAAAUCUCCCAACUAUGUCUCUCUUCUCCCCCACUGCAAAGUAGUUAUUUCAUUGCUAUUUGA